CAGCCGCCGCGGUAAAACGGAGGGUGCAAGCGUUAAUCGGAAUUACUGGGCGUAAAGCGCACGCAGGCGGUUUGUUAAGUCAGAUGUGAAAUCCCCGAGCUUAACUUGGGAACUGCAUUUGAAACUGGCAAGCUAGAGUCUUGUAGAGGGGGGUAGAAUUCCAGGUGUAGCGGUGAAAUGCGUAGAGAUCUGGAGGAAUACCGGUGGCGAAGGCGGCCCCCUGGACAAAGACUGACGCUCAGGUGCGAAAGCGUGGGGAGCAAACAGGAUUAGAUACCCGAGUAGUCCCUGUCUCUUAUAC
rnacentral:rRNA from 1 species